rnacentral:rRNA from 1 species
UACGUAGGGUGCGAGCGUUGUCCGGAUUUAUUGGGCGUAAAGAGCUCGUAGGCGGUUUGUCGCGUCGGCCGUGAAAUCUCCACGCUUAACGUGGAGCGUGCGGUCGAUACGGGCAGGCUAGAGUUCGGUAGGGGAGUCUGGAAUUCCUGGUGUAGCGGUGAAAUGCGCAGAUAUCAGGAGGAACACCGGUGGCGAAGGCGGGACUCUGGGCCGAUACUGACGCUGAGGAGCGAAAGCGUGGGGAGCGAACAGG